GGCUGACUUCUAUUGUAGGCAUAAUUCUGGUAUGGAGGCCUACUCUGAAAGUUUUGCAAAGGAAGAAUUUAGAUCUGAGCCUGAGUCUGUUGGGGUCUCCAAGAAAAAUUAGGAUGGUUCCUCCAAUCUUGGUUAUAUGCAUUUAAGAAUGGGUCAUUGACAGGAUUAGAAUAACCUUGAGCAGCUUAAACUUGUUCUUGGAUGAAAGAUGAAAACUGUGCAGCCAUUGGAUAUUCGCUCACAUGAUGGGUCAGGCUAGCACAAAUAGAACAAAUCUCCUGAUAAUUAGGUAGUGGUGUGUAUUGUGCAAGAGAUUGUUGACCUAGUGC
rnacentral:lncRNA from 1 species